rnacentral:rRNA from 1 species
GACGAACGCUGGCGGCGUGCCUAAUACAUGCAAGUAGAACGCACAGUUUAUACCGUAGCUUGCUACACCAUAGACUGUGAGUUGCGAACGGGUGAGUAACGCGUAGGUAACCUGCCUGGUAGCGGGGGAUAACUAUUGGAAACGAUAGCUAAUACCGCAUAAUAUUAAUUAUUGCAUGAUAAUUAAUUGAAAGGUGCAAUUGCACCACUACCAGAUGGACCUGCGUUGUAUUAGCUAGUAGGUGAGGUAACGGCUCACCUAGGCGACGAUACAUAGCCGACCUGAGAGGGUGAUAGGCCACACUGGGACUGAGACACGGCCCAGACUCCUACGGGAGGCAGCAGUAGGGAAGCUUCGGCAAUGGACGAAAGUCUGACCGAGCAACGCCGCGUGAGUGAAGAAGGUUUUCGGAUCGUAAAGCUCGGUUGUAAGAGAAGAACGGGUGUGGGAGUGGAAAGUUCACACUGUGACGGUAUCUUACCAGAAAGGGACGGCUAACUACGUG